AUUUGUCUAUCAACUUUAACAUUAAGUUGCAAUUUUAAGGGAUUAUUCUUCUCAAAAAUAAAAUAACCAUAUGCUGAAUUGUCUCUCAGUGGAAUUUCUCUUCACAUUAACAAAAUCAUGGAUUACAUGUUAGGCAUAUUCUUUUUAAGAUAAGUAAGCCAUGGCCAUAUGUCCUUACUAUUUUAGAAUAUAUUCGCAUGAUAUAGGAAACUUAGGGGAAGUAAAAGUCAAUUUUUCUCAUUAAAAAGGAAUCCGGACAAAAGGUGUAUUGGUUGGAGAAAGCUGGGCUGGAGAUAAAUUGAAAAUUUGGUUAAAGUUUGUUCCUUUCUUUUCUGUAACUCAAGGAUCUUCAUUAAAAUGUAUCGAUACAACUAAACGAGUUAUGUAUCAGACAGAUUGACUUUUCCGAAAGUUAAUAUGAUGCCUUCUUAAAUUAACAGUGCAAAAUCCAUUAAUUGUUUUUCUACUGUAUACCAAAUGCCAGUUAAACAUCAGCAUCUGAGAGGUUUCCAUGAAUCAGAUUUUGCUAAACUUUCUGAAUUCUUCUGGAAGAUGUACUGCUUAGCAAUAAAGUGGUACUUUCAUUCAUGCUGUUGGGGGUGUGUGGUGGGUAGAGUAGCAGAAGUGGUGGUUGAAUAAAGAUGCUGUAAAAAUCUCAGAGGGUUUCGCACUGUUUCACAUGCAUGUAGGUAGGGUGCCAUGGCUGGAUAAGAGAGACUAUUCAGGGCUUACUUGAGAAUAUUUUCCUCUUUUGGUGACUCCAGUGAGCUUCAAAAUGCCACCAUGAUGUCUGUUUUAUCGUGAUCCAGAUUGCUUUCAAAUUACAUGCACACAGAGUUUCUCCUCCAAUUCUAUCUCUGGGCCAACUUCUUUGCAGGAUGUCGUCUGCUUAUGCUGGCCAAGAGAAAAGCAGAACAUCUGAGGCCUGGCACCAACAGAAAUCUCCCUGACAUGUAUUAUCAGAGAUUAUACGAUAAAUCUUCGGUGAGAAGGAAACGUUGA
rnacentral:lncRNA from 1 species